AGUAAAAUUCCAUUAAACCUAAUCUUACGAUAUUGAAAACAAUUAGAAAGAAGAUUAGAUGGAAGAGGACUUGCAUUAUGCUAUAUAGAUAUAUGAGUAGAGAUACAUGAAAAGAAUUCAUACUGCGAUUUUCAAUUGUGGAAUGGACUUCUAUUUCUGCAAACAUAUAUCAAUUUGCUGAAGACAAAAAUCGAGUAAUACUUUCUAAAAACAUUCAUGUUAUUUUCAUAUGAAAAAACAGAAAAUGUAUCAAGAGGACCUAACUGUUGCACAUCAUCAGUUAGAUGAAUUAGGCCGUGUAUAUUAUAAGAAUAAAAAGUCGGGCCGUAAAGAUCUUGGCAUCUUUCUACAAAUUUUUGUAAUGUAAGAUCUGCAAAGCUUAGAUGUGCUUUUGAUGGAGAUACAGAAAUUAAAAUCCUUAUAGCAGCAUGCAAAAACAAAAAGUAUAUAAGCUAAUUGAUCAAGAAUGCCAUGUGUUACUAUUGGAUCAGUAUAGAGAAGAAAUUGGCGAUAUUCUAUGGCUUUAUAUUUUGUGCACAUAGCAAAUUUAGGACGCUUUGCAAAAUCAGAUUGGCAAUAUUUUGCGAGUGCUUCUAAUCAUGUUGAUAUAAUAGAAAUUGAUUUUGCAGAUAAUUUUGAUAAGCGUGAAUAUUUUCCAUACACCCAUGCGAAGAACAAUUGUCAUAACACCUAGCAAUACGAGAUGCAUGUAUGCAAAAGAUACUUGAGAAACUAUCUCUAUCAGUAAUGCUAAAGGACUUUUGUCAUCUUUAUGAUGCUUGCUGCAAUCACAAUUUUAACAAAUCGACUCGAAGUUUCAAGAAGAAACUCUAGUUUCAAGCAAUAGUUAGAGAAGCUUUGCGUUCAGCG